rnacentral:rRNA from 1 species
GCAUGAAGUCGGAAUUGCUAGUAAUCGCGGAUCAGCAUGCCGCGGUGAAUACGUUCCCGGGCCUUGUACACACCGCCCGUCACACCAUGGGAGCCGGUAAUACCCGAAGUCAGUAGUCCAACCUCGUGAGGACGCUGCCGAAGGUAGGAUUGGCGACUGGGGUGAAGUCGUAACAAGGUAUC